GCCCGCCUAGCUCAAUCGGAUAGAGCGUCAGACUUUUAAGGCGGGUUCAACCCUGUUGCAAUCUGAAGGCUGCGAGUUCGACCCUCGCGGUGGGCU